rnacentral:lncRNA from 1 species
UCCGCCUUUGAAUCACAUCGUCUCUAAAACUCUCUCAAAGUUCUUCGGAACCCUAGUCGCCUCCUACCCUUUUCAAAUGCUUUCACAGGAAUCCAUGGCUUCUCAGGCCAUGGAUGGUCUGUACUCACCCCUCUCUACCAUUAAACCCUGGUUGCUCGAAGUUUUAAGGUCUGACCUCGAUGGUUGUCUUUCAUAUCUUCUCAGAUCUAUGGCUCUAUGGCUUCUCCAGCCUUGCUCUUGCAUAUCCAAAGCGUUAUGAGCCUGAUUCUAACUCAUACGACUCCAGAUCGGACUUUCUUCCAAGACUUUCUCAUUUUUAGGGUUUCUCUAAGCUAUUCGAGGUUUUUCUCUGUUUGUUUUCUUAGAUAUAUACUAUAUUUGUGUUUUAUGGACUUUUAGAGUGUUUUCCCCAAACUUUUCUUUCAUACAUAUUUCUCUUCGAUUUAGGGUUUCUGAAAGGGUUUCAAAAGGACUUUCUGAUUCUUCCUUUUUAUUUUCUUUAUGUGUGUUUGCAUAUUCUAUGUUUUGCCACGCAUGUGUUGUUCUUCUGCUUUUCUUUGUACUAUACCUGACUCUUCUGUACUUCAUAUUCUACUGUGCCUUUAGACUAGGCUCGCAUGUUAAUCUAUGUUAUGUUUUUCUAUAUGUUCUUUGCUAUACUUUUCAGUAUUCUUCUACUGUGUGUGUUUCCUGCUAAGUUCUUAAGUUUGUUUGCCUUUACUGAACUUCUGUUUGAAUACUAAACAUGUUUCAUCUACCGUUUCUUAAGUUUACAUCACUUCUCCUCUCUUCUGAACUUGCUUAAGUUCCGAGCUUUUCUUAAAAACAUAUACUUUACACUUUUAAAUAAACUCUUUUCACUACGUUACUUCAAACUUGCAAAUGUAUCUGUGUGUUUCUUCAUGAGGAUGUGAAAGAGUCCUCUGAGCCUGAUGUAUUGGCUUGCCUUCUUGUCUCUGCAUCUAAUUCGAGUUGAAACCUUAGGAUUUGGGGUUUUUUUUGGAAAGUUUGCUUUUGUGUUCGAAUUGGGGUUCUACUUUGGAACCCUGGACUAUCAGACUCAUUUUGAGUCUAUGAACUAAAUAUGAAUCUCUUUAUUAUGACUCUGAACUUUUCUAUGCCAAGUCUUUUCUAAUUAGCAUGACAACUCCUUCUUGCUUGAUGUCUGUUUGCUUUAUAUACGAGGAAUUCUUACUUCAAAAAGGGUUUUGCUAGCUAUUGAUUGAUUUCGAAUUCUUUUUAAUAUGGCUUGACUGAUUGUUACUAAUUUUCUUUAAUUGAACCCUCUUUACCUUUUCCUGACUUGGUUCAUUUGAACAAAGCUUGCAAUUUUGAUUUUACUGGUUGUUUGAUUGAUUCCCUUUCCUUAUUUUCACAAACCGUGUACCACUGAACUUUUGCCUUAAAUAAACCCCUGUGUAUUUGACCUUAUUAUACUGCUUUGAAAAAUAUUUUGAUCAACUCUUUCCAUAAUUGUCUUUUACCUGUUUGAAAUUAGAAUCCUGUGAUUAAAGGGAGAUUAAUUUCAAUGCUAUUUUUUUACCUUUUCUUACUUGCUUUCUGCAGUAUAAAAGGCACGACCCUCCUAAACUUUAAGACAUCUCCAAUCUUUACAUUACUCACCUCACACUCUCAAUUUUAACACCCUUUCAACAUUCUACUCUCUUCUGAGACCUUUUGGAUUGUUUGCUUGAAAUUUGGCUUCACAAGACUUCUGCUUUUACUUUUUUGUUUCCAUGAAACUGGUAUGUUAUAAUUUAGUUUCAAGCAUCAUCCCAAUAUGUUUAUUUACAACUUCUACAAUCAUAGUUACAUUAUUGUCCAUGCUUAGUGAUUAAGAUUAAGUAUGCAUGUUCUUUUCUUGCAUCUAUUUCUAUUGUGAAUCUGUAUCCCCUAUUCCCUUCUCUGUGUUUGAGUUAAAGUUCAGAACAUGGCAACAUCCAAGUUGUUUCUCAUGUAUGGACUUGAUCCAUAAAGGAUCCUAACUCCCAAACAAUGUUCCUAACAUGCUGGUUGGGGUGUGCCAGCACUCCUAAUUACUGGGUAUGACCACCACCAUGUCUUGGUAUUCCCCUAAUUGCCCCCUAUGCACUUGAACUCUCUCUUAGACUCUAAGUUCUGCCCCCUUUCUAUGAGCCUUGCCUUGGGACCUUGAGUUCCCUCUAAACUUGGACAUUUGAGGGCUGACCCUUCCACACUACACUAUAAUCAAUUAUGCAAUUUAUUUGCAUGUAAGCAUUGCCGGGAGUCCACUUGAGGCUCUUGGGAAUUUUGAUAUAUUCCAAAUAAGAGAAAGACUUUGGAAAUAUGAUCUUUGGAAGUUGGUUUAUCUCAUGUUUCAGACCUGGAGUUUGAAUUAGGCUCUCUUUGGUUGUAAUUUAAUUUCUAAUGUAAUCUUUUCUUUCUUAUUCAUUCUAGUCUGUAAUAAUUUGUAAUAACUUAUGGGAAUUUUAGUAAUAAGGGAAGGGUCAUUCAUUUAUG